rnacentral:rRNA from 1 species
UACAGAGGGUGCAAGCGUUGUUCGGAAUUACUGGGCGUAAAGCGCGUGUAGGCGGCUUAAUAAGUCAGACGUGAAAUCCCUCGGCUCAACCGAGGAACUGCAUCUGAUACUGUUAAGCUAGAGUAUCGGAGGGGAUGGUGGAAUUCCCGGUGUAGAGGUGAAAUUCGUAGAUAUCGAGAGGAACACCGGUGGCGAAGGCGGCCUUCUGGACAGUG